rnacentral:sRNA from 1 species
AUAAGCAUGUUUUGGCUUGUUUUUAUAGAUAAUAGAAUCUGUCCCUCCAGCUGGCCCUGAGGCAUCUGAGUCAACAACGGAUGAAAAUGAAGACGACAUUCAGUUUGUCAGUGAAGGACCAUUACGACCUGUUCUUGAAUACAUUGAUCUGGUCAGCAGUGAUGAUGAAGAGCCUAGCACCUCUUAUACUGAUGUGCCCUAUACAACAGGAUUCUUUUGUUCCAGAACCACAUGACCACAGAAAAUUUGUUUUCUCUUAGAAAAAAGGAUAUGUAGAGAUCCUUUUAGGAAUGGAGAAUAUUAAACGUAAAGACCAUAUUGAUCAUCAGAAGGAUAAAGUUGCUUUAACUCUGGCUCGUCUAGCCCGCCAUGUGGAAGUGGAGAAACAGCAGAAAGAAGAGAAGAAUAGAGCAUUCAGAGAAAAAAUUGAUUUUCAGCAUGCUCAUGGGUUACAAGAAUUGGAAUUUAUUCGAGGAC